GACGAACGCUGGCGGCGUGCUUAACACAUGCAAGUCGAACGAAGUGGCGAACGGGUGAGUAACGCGUAAUCAACCUGCCCUUCAGAGGGGGACAACAGUUGGAAACGACUGCUAAUACCGCAUACUGAAGGAGGGGAUUGAGUCGGAUUAGCUAGUUGGAGGGGUAACGGCCCACCAAGGCGAUGAUCAGUAGCCGGGCUGGAAGGAAUGACGGCCACAAUGGGACUGGAACCCGGCCCAGACUCCUUCUGGAGGGAGCAGUGGGGAAUCUUCCGAAAUGGACGAAAGUCUGACGGAGCAACGCCGCGUGAGUGAUGACGGCCUUCGGGUUGUAAAGCUCUGUUAAUCGGGACGCGGUACCGGAAUAGAAAGCCACGGCUAACUACGUGCCAGCAGCCGCGGUAAUAC
rnacentral:rRNA from 1 species